rnacentral:rRNA from 1 species
GACGUAGGGCGCGAGCGUUGUCCGGAUUUAUUGGGCGUAAAGAGCUCGUAGGCGGCUUGUCGCGUCGACUGUGAAAUCCCGCGGCUCAACUGCGGGUCUGCAGUCGAUACGGGCAGGCUAGAGUUCGGUAGGGGAGACUGGAAUUCCUGGUGUAGCGGUGAAAUGCGCAGAUAUCAGGAGGAACACCAAUUGCGAAGGCAGCUCGCUGGGACGUUACUGACGCUGAGACGCGAAAGCGUGGGGAGCGAACAGG